ACUUCGGUAGUAUAAUAGGUAGUAUGUUGUCUUUCCAAGUCAAUGGACUAGGGUUUAGUCGAUGUA
rnacentral:tRNA from 1 species